rnacentral:rRNA from 1 species
GUAUAAGAGACAGCAGUAGCCACGGUAAUACGUAGGGUGCAAGCGUUAAUCGGAAUUACUGGGCGUAAAGCGUGCGCAGGCGGUUAUAUAAGACAGAUGUGAAAUCCCCGGGCUCAACCUGGGAACUGCAUUUGUGACUGUAUAGCUAGAGUACGGCAGAGGGGGAUGGAAUUCCGCGUGUAGCAGUGAAAUGCGUAGAUAUGCGGAGGAACACCGAUGGCGAAGGCAAUCCCCUGGGCCUGUACUGACGCUCAUGCACGAAAGCGUGGGGAGCAAACAGGAUUAGAUACCCGCGUAGUCCCUGUCUCUUAUAC